rnacentral:rRNA from 1 species
UGGUGGAGUGAUUUGUCUGGUUAAUUCCGAUAACGAACGAGACUCUAUUCAUCUAAAUAGUUCUACUUUUUCUUUACAAAGUAGGACCCCUUUUCCUUUCUUAGAGAGACUGGCUGCGUCUAGCAGCACGAGAUUGAGCAAUAACA